rnacentral:lncRNA from 1 species
UCUAGUUCAAAUCCUAGAUAUCAACCGUUUAACAGAAACCAAUUAUAUAGAUUAGCUCACAAACUUAAGAAUCGUUCUUAAUUUUUAGAAAAUUAAGUAAUGUUCUCUACCAAGUUAUUCUAAUGUUCUCUACCAAAGUCAAUGAGCUAUACUUGAUGAGUGGAUGGACAAUGACAAUAAGGAUAGGUAUUAUAUAUUGAAGUCCAUGUUAGAU